GCCAUGCCGCGUGUAUGAAGAAGGCCUUCGGGUUGUAAAGACUUUCAGCAGUGAGGAAGGUGGAGUAUGUUAAUAGCAUAUUCAUUUGACGUUAGCUGCAGAAGAAGCACCGGCUAACUCCGUGCCAGCAGCCGCGGUAAUACGGAGGGUGCGAGCGUUAAUCGGAAUUACUGGGCGUAAAGCGCAUGCAGGUGGUUUGUUAAGUCAGAUGUGAAAGCCCGGGGCUCAACCUCGGAAUUGCAUUUGAAACUGGCAAACUAGAGUACUGUAGAGGGGGUAGAAUUUCAGGUGUAGCGGUGAAAUGCGUAGAGAUCUGAAGGAAUACCGGUGGCGAAGGCGGCCCCCUGGACAGAUACUGACACUCAGAUGCGAAAGCGGUGGGGAGACAAACAGGAUUAGAUACCCUGGUAG
rnacentral:rRNA from 1 species